UAGGUGAGACAUCUCUUUAUCUGUUUGUACUAACAAAAUAAAAUAUUUCGUAAUGAACAGCAGAACAUGCAAAACAUGCUUGUCUGUCCAUCUCAGUGAUGAGAUGGCAAAUUUGUUGAGUAAAUCUGACUAAGGAAGCAAAUCUGAGAAGUGUUCCUAAAAGUAACUUGUCCCAGUGUGAUUUUCAUAGCAAUCCAUCAUUUUUUCCAAAGAUUUUUUUAUGAAGCUACAACAUAGAAGGUCGUGACCCAGUAAGCAUCAUACAGGGAGCUCCUAUGUAUGAAAGGAACUUUCUUCAGUAUUGAUACUGGGAUAAAUGACUUUGUUCUCAUCAACUUUCAGUUUAAAGAAACCAUUAACUCCUCAAAGACCACAAGUACACCUGUUACCACCACCCGGUUCCAAAUCGAUGAUUGCUUGGAUUCUAGAAAAAAACAAUGCUCGGUAAAGUAAAUUUUACAGUUGCCAACCACAAUAGUUCCGCACUGUAAUAAAAUCUCGGUCAGUGACUCGGUGUCGCCAACGUGAUACAAAGUUAUUCAACUCUUUACAUCAAACCUGUUGAGAAGGAUGCCCCAGGCUGGACACUAUUACUCCAAUUGAAAAUGAAUGGACACAGUUCAUUUAUAGCACUCAUGCAAGAUGCAACCACCAUUUAGACAUCUUAAAAACGUAUUUUAGGAUAUGCAAACUAUGGCACUUAAUUUUUAUAUAAUACUUCGCAAGUUUGUCGCAUGUGAAAAAGAAUAAAAAUGGAAUGUGAUGCCUAGGUAGCAUAAUGAGGUCAGAAGAUUGCCCAACAUCUAUGGAAAAAUGACUUGAUUGAUGAACCAGCUAUAUUUAGCAGGUUGGCUUUAUUGGAGAACUGUUAAACAUUUGAUAUUCAUAAUGUUCGCAAGGCUUUUAAGAAAAUAGUUUUCAUUGCACUGGCGACAAUUCGGAAUGGCGAGGUGCGAAUGAAUCGGAUUAAAAGUCAGCGUGGAAAUGCAAUAGUUCCGCAGCUGGCAAGAAAUGAGAGGACGAUUGGUGAUGAGACAAUUUAUUCUAAUCGCUGUAACUCAUGGACACGUCGACAUUCGUGGUAAUCAAACUUAGAACGUCUGCAAUGCGAAAUUUUUCACCAAUAUAAAGGAAAGCUGCAAACAUAUUUUCAGCAUUUUUAAUAAAAAAAUAAGCGCGUUCAUUCCCUUCAACCAAUUGUCAACGCGAGGCCCCGUAGGAACCUUCCAUACGUCACUUUUAUUGUAGCUGACAGUGACUGUAAUUAUGGCUUACUUAGCCCAUGCUUAUCCAGAGCUGCCUUGUUGAUCCCCGCCCUAAAAACUAUCAUCUUCAAAAGCUUCCAGGUUUGUUGUGGUCGUAGAACAGCAGACGACGAAGUUCAAAGCGGCAUUGUACCAUCGGGCAGAAUCCAAACGGUUGAUGCAUUGAAAAUGUCGGAGCUCUGUUGAUGAAUUUUCACCAGCACUCUUCCACAAGACGCGCGCGAAGCAAACGAUAGCAAAGGAGAUAUGGACUUGAAUUGGUUGUUUACCACCCGUGGCUUUCCCGCAUCCCAGGAUUAGUCUUGUACACCUUUUGCACUUGUACAGAGCGUUCGGGAACGAAAUUAGUUGUGGAUGGGUUUGCUGUUGACAAGCAAGGGAAGGAUUUUUUUACCAAAGUAGACAGGAUAUUUAUUCUUAAUCCCACAAUGUCUUGGUAAUAAAUCACUACAAAUCAUGCUGAAUUAGAAUAGUAUGUUGAUCGAGGCUGGGUGCCAAAGCAAUGGAUGAUAAUUGAUUGGACUCUAAUCACUGCUGAGAUGGCCACUGAUGUGCAGUUCUUGUACUGCGAAUUCCCGGAUUGCCUUUGAAUGAUUGCCGAUGACAUCUCAAUUCUGUAGUUGGUAGAUAUCUGUUGAACAUAGUUGAAACUCA
rnacentral:lncRNA from 1 species